GAUGAACGCUAGCGGUGCGUUUAAUACAUGCAAGUCGAGCGCCCCCACCCUGUCUUUGAAAUUCGAAGAUAGAGUGGGGGAGCGGCAGACGGCUGAGUAACACGUUGGAACCUGCCCGAUACUCGAGGAUAGCUCGGAGAAAUCCGGAUUAAUACUCGAUAGUUCCCUACGGGGUAAAGAUUUAUCGGUAUCGGAGGGGCCUGCGGCCUAUCAGUUUGUUGGUGAGGUAAUGGCUCACCAAGACAAUGACGGGUAGCUGGUGUGAGAGCACGACCAGCCAGAAUGGGACUGAGACACGGCCCAUACUCCUACGGGAGGCAGCAGUAAAGAAUCUUCCACAAUGGACGAAAGUCUGAUGGAGCGACACCGCGUGAGGGAUGAAGUCCUAACGGACGUAAACCUCUUUUGUGUAGGAGCAAAUUUUUGAGUUAACUACACGAAUAAGGACCGGCUAAUCACG
rnacentral:rRNA from 1 species